UACGUAGGGGGCAAGCGUUGUCCGGAAUCAUUGGGCGUAAAGAGCGUGUAGGCGGCUUGGCAAGUCUGGUGUGAAAUCUUGCGGCUCAACCUCGAGCUGUCGGUGGAAACCGCGUGGCUAGAGUCCGGAAGAGGGGACUGGAAUUCCCGGUGUAGCGGUGGAAUGCGCAGAUAUCGGGAGGAACACCCGUGGCGAAGGCGGGUCCCUGGGACGGUACUGACGCUGAGACGCGAAAGCGUGGGGAGCGAACAGG
rnacentral:rRNA from 1 species